rnacentral:lncRNA from 1 species
UAUCAAUCUUAUUUCAGCAUUAUCACAUUCAACAAGUAUCGAAUGAGCAUCUUCUAUAUGCCAAACAAUGUUAUGAGUCCUUAGGAUACAUCAGUGAACGAAACACAUGAAGAUGCUUGCCUUUAUGGAGCUUACAUUUUGACUCACAUCCUGUGAGGUAAGAAACAACAGUGCUGAAACUUGAGACAACGGCUGUUCUCGGUUGCUG